GACGAACGCUGGCGGCAGGCCUAACACAUGCAAGUCGAGCGGAGCGGCGGACGCGUGAGUAUUGCCUAGGAAUCUGCAUGUUCGUGGUGGCUAAGGUCCGCAAACGGAAACUAUGACCGCUACCUAUCAGUUGAGCAUAGGUCGGAUUAGCUUGUGGGUGGGGGAAGGGCAUACCAAGGCGACGAUCCGUAACUGGUUUGGGAGGAUGAUCAGUCACACUGGAACUGAGACACGGCCCAGACUCCUACGGGAGGCAGCAGUGGGGAAUAUUGGACAAUGGGCGAAAGCCUGAUCCAGCCAUGCCGCGUGUGUGAAGAAGGUCUGCGGAUUGUAAAGUACUUUAAGUUGGGAGGCGUUACCUACAGAAUAAGCACCGGCUAACUUCGUGCCAGCAGCCGCGGUAAUAC
rnacentral:rRNA from 1 species